GGUUAAGCGACUAAGCGUACACGGUGGAUGCCCUGGCAGUCAGAGGCGAUGAAGGACGUGCUAAUCUGCGAUAAGCGUCGGUAAGGUGAUAUGAACCGUUAUAACCGGCGAUUUCCGAAUGGGGAAACCCAGUGUGAUUCGUCACACUAUCAUUAACUGAAUCCAUAGGUUAAUGAGGCGAACCGGGGGAACUGAAACAUCUAAGUACCCCGAGGAAAAGAAAUCAACCGAGAUUCCCCCAGUAGCGGCGAGCGAACGGGGAGCAGCCCAGAGCCUGAAUCAGUGUGUGUGUUAGUGGAAGCGUCUGGAAAGGCGCGCGAUACAGGGUGACAGCCCCGUACACAAAAAUGCACAUGCUGUGAGCUCGAUGAGUAGGGCGGGACACGUGGUAUCCUGUCUGAAUAUGGGGGGACCAUCCUCCAAGGCUAAAUACUCCUGACUGACCGAUAGUGAACCAGUACCGUGAGGGAAAGGCGAAAAGAACCCCGGCGAGGGGAGUGAAAAAGAACCUGAAACCGUGUACGUACAAGCAGUGGGAGCACGCUUCGGCGUGUGACUGCGUACCUUUUGUAUAAUGGGUCAGCGACUUAUAUUCUGUAGCAAGGUUAACCGAAUAGGGGAGCCGAAGGGAAACCGAGUCUUAACUGGGCGUUAAGUUGCAGGGUAUAGACCCGAAACCCGGUGAUCUAGCCAUGGGCAGGUUGAAGGUUGGGUAACACUAACUGGAGGACCGAACCGACUAAUGUUGAAAAAUUAGCGGAUGACUUGUGGCUGGGGGUGAAAGGCCAAUCAAACCGGGAGAUAGCUGGUUCUCCCCGAAAGCUAUUUAGGUAGCGCCUCGUGAAUUCAUCUCCGGGGGUAGAGCACUGUUUCGGCAAGGGGGUCAUCCCGACUUACCAACCCGAUGCAAACUGCGAAUACCGGAGAAUGUUAUCACGGGAGACACACGGCGGGUGCUAACGUCCGUCGUGAAGAGGGAAACAACCCAGACCGCCAGCUAAGGUCCCAAAGUCAUGGUUAAGUGGGAAACGAUGUGGGAAGGCCCAGACAGCCAGGAUGUUGGCUUAGAAGCAGCCAUCAUUUAAAGAAAGCGUAAUAGCUCACUGGUCGAGUCGGCCUGCGCGGAAGAUGUAACGGGGCUAAACCAUGCACCGAAGCUGCGGCAGCGACACUAUGUGUUGUUGGGUAGGGGAGCGUUCUGUAAGCCUGUGAAGGUGUGCUGUGAGGCAUGCUGGAGGUAUCAGAAGUGCGAAUGCUGACAUAAGUAACGAUAAAGCGGGUGAAAAGCCCGCUCGCCGGAAGACCAAGGGUUCCUGUCCAACGUUAAUCGGGGCAGGGUGAGUCGACCCCUAAGGCGAGGCCGAAAGGCGUAGUCGAUGGGAAACAGGUUAAUAUUCCUGUACUUGGUGUUACUGCGAAGGGGGGACGGAGAAGGCUAUGUUGGCCGGGCGACGGUUGUCCCGGUUUAAGCGUGUAGGCUGGUUUUCCAGGCAAAUCCGGAAAAUCAAGGCUGAGGCGUGAUGACGAGGCACUACGGUGCUGAAGCAACAAAUGCCCUGCUUCCAGGAAAAGCCUCUAAGCAUCAGGUAACAUCAAAUCGUACCCCAAACCGACACAGGUGGUCAGGUAGAGAAUACCAAGGCGCUUGAGAGAACUCGGGUGAAGGAACUAGGCAAAAUGGUGCCGUAACUUCGGGAGAAGGCACGCUGAUAUGUAGGUGAAGUCCCUCGCGGAUGGAGCUGAAAUCAGUCGAAGAUACCAGCUGGCUGCAACUGUUUAUUAAAAACACAGCACUGUGCAAACACGAAAGUGGACGUAUACGGUGUGACGCCUGCCCGGUGCCGGAAGGUUAAUUGAUGGGGUUAGCGGUAACGCGAAGCUCUUGAUCGAAGCCCCGGUAAACGGCGGCCGUAACUAUAACGGUCCUAAGGUAGCGAAAUUCCUUGUCGGGUAAGUUCCGACCUGCACGAAUGGCGUAAUGAUGGCCAGGCUGUCUCCACCCGAGACUCAGUGAAAUUGAACUCGCUGUGAAGAUGCAGUGUACCCGCGGCAAGACGGAAAGACCCCGUGAACCUUUACUAUAGCUUGACACUGAACAUUGAGCCUUGAUGUGUAGGAUAGGUGGGAGGCUUUGAAGUGUGGACGCCAGUCUGCAUGGAGCCGACCUUGAAAUACCACCCUUUAAUGUUUGAUGUUCUAACGUUGACCCGUAAUCCGGGUUGCGGACAGUGUCUGGUGGGUAGUUUGACUGGGGCGGUCUCCUCCUAAAGAGUAACGGAGGAGCACGAAGGUUGGCUAAUCCUGGUCGGACAUCAGGAGGUUAGUGCAAUGGCAUAAGCCAGCUUGACUGCGAGCGUGACGGCGCGAGCAGGUGCGAAAGCAGGUCAUAGUGAUCCGGUGGUUCUGAAUGGAAGGGCCAUCGCUCAACGGAUAAAAGGUACUCCGGGGAUAACAGGCUGAUACCGCCCAAGAGUUCAUAUCGACGGCGGUGUUUGGCACCUCGAUGUCGGCUCAUCACAUCCUGGGGCUGAAGUAGGUCCCAAGGGUAUGGCUGUUCGCCAUUUAAAGUGGUACGCGAGCUGGGUUUAGAACGUCGUGAGACAGUUCGGUCCCUAUCUGCCGUGGGCGCUGGAGAACUGAGGGGGGCUGCUCCUAGUACGAGAGGACCGGAGUGGACGCAUCACUGGUGUUCGGGUUGUCAUGCCAAUGGCACUGCCCGGUAGCUAAAUGCGGAAGAGAUAAGUGCUGAAAGCAUCUAAGCACGAAACUUGCCCCGAGAUGAGUUCUCCCUGACCCUUUAAGGGUCCUGAAGGAACGUUGAAGACGACGACGUUGAUAGGCCGGGUGUGUAAGCGCAGCGAUGCGUUGAGCUAACCGGUACUAAUGAACCGUGAGGCUUAACCUU
rnacentral:rRNA from 1 species